UUCAAUCGAUACCAGCCACACCA
rnacentral:misc_RNA from 1 species